rnacentral:misc_RNA from 1 species
GAAAUGCGAUAAGUAAUGUGAAUUGCAGAAUUCAGUGAACCAUCGAAUCUUUGAACGCACAUUGCGCCCGCCAGCACUCUGGCGGGCAUGCCUGCCCGAGCGUCAUUUCAGAAACCCUCGAGCCGCCCGGCGGCUCGGCCCUGGGGGACGGCGCGCGCGCCGCCCCCGAAAUGCAGUGGCGACCGCGCCGCGGCCUCCCCUGCGCAGUACAAGAACCUCGCACCGGAGCGCGGACGCGGUCACGCCGUGAAGCCCCGAACGCCCAUCGAGAGUUGACCUCGGAUCAGGUAGGGAUACCCGCUGAACUUAA